UACCAGCACCCCGAGUGGUCGGGACGAUUAUUGGGCCUAAAGCAUCCGUAGCCGGUUCUACAAGUCUUCCGUUAAAUCCACCUGCUCAACAGUUGGGCUGCGGAGGAUACUAUAGAGCUAGGAGGCGGGAGAGGCAAGCGGUACUUAGUGGGUAGGGGUAAAAUCCGUUGAUCCAUUGAAGACCACCAGUGGCGAAGGCGGCUUGCCAGAACGCACUCGACGGUGAGGGAUGAAAGCUGGGGGAGCAACCGG
rnacentral:rRNA from 1 species